rnacentral:ncRNA from 1 species
AAAUCAGAGCGAUAAGUCCACUUUAGGCCGUCCAAGGCGUUUCCCUCCGUAGGUGGGUAUGAGCCUUGGCAGAACAAGCCUAAAGGGCACGCUCUUUUU